AGUUGAAUAACUGGGUCAAAUGAUGGUUCUAUUCCAAGUUUUCUAAGGAAUCUCCACACUGCUUUCCAGAGUGGUUGCAGCAAUUUGUAGUCCCAUGAGCAAU
rnacentral:pre_miRNA from 1 species